AAGUUAAAAAAAAAAAGUUUUAGACAGAUAAUUCUUGUCAAAAAAGGACAACAAAUAAGCACCCUUUUUUUUCUGUUUUAGAGGGUGAGGUGGGGAACUUAAGUAUGUUUCAUAAGUAAAGAGUGAAUCCUCACGGUGAUUUUUUUUAAGCUUGAAAACAUAGGAAAAUGGUAAAUCAGAAACUUGAAGCCAGGGAGCCUUACCUGUGUGUGCAAGUGUGGACUUGAGCAAAGGGAAGCCUUAGGCACCUGUGCCAGGCCCAUGCAACUUUUCCAUGGACACGUCUUCCUAUAUUUCCAAUAACAACCAGAGAACCAGCUACCCGCCUUUUGAUGCUGUCCUCUUCCUGCAGGAGGAAGGGUAGGGGGACAGGAUUCUUCCACCCAAGUGCCCUUGCAGGUGUCUAAGCCUGGGUGGUGGAUUCUUGGUUCCUGGCAGGCCUUGGAGGGCAGGCAACAGCCAGACUGCCAAAAACACCCAAUUAGAUUGAAUGUGGUUCCCUAGUUGUGGCUGUGGGUAGGGAGGAAAGUUAAGUCUCUUCACACAUCUCCUCUCUGCACGCUGUGGUCUAGUUUGCACAGCCUCUUCUUAUUCUUAAUAACCCAGAAUCUGAGAAUUUAGAGUCCUUCUUGUUACUUAGGAAGGACUAAUCUUCCCCGGCAGGUUGUCCUGCAUUUGUUGAAUGGGGUAAAAAUUGCAUAGCAUCUCGAGUGCUGUGCCUACAAAUUACCUUGAUAAAUGAUUGUGACUCAGCAAAGCUUAGGCUUUUGCCCUAGUUUUGGAGGCUGGGGCUAACUAGAGAAAAAAUGGAGGGUCUGUUGGGUGUUUCUGCUGUUUUUACAAGGCUUCAUAAUUCCCCAUUGUCUGCGUGUGUGUGAAUCAGCAAGUGGUUCGCAUCCUGAUUGGGUGGUGUGAUGGGAGCACCCACCUCGCAGAGCCUCAGAGCCCUCAUUGUCUCCCUUUUCCAUUUGCUCAUUCCUACUUUGGCCAGUGGCACCCUGAAAGAGUUUUCAUUAGUAACAGUGUUGAGGAAACCACCCAUUAGAGGCAGCGGGACUACACUGAUCAGCAUGUGGGCUGGGUGAUUGCUCAGAUCUGAGCUCAGAGCUUGCUGUGCUGCUCACCAGAUGUGUGAGCCCGAGGAUGCUGUCCCGGCUCCCAGCCUCAGUUUCCUCACCUGUGGGACUAGACGGGACUAAACCAGGGGGAGAAUAGAAAGCACCCACGGGUAGUAAGUGCUCACCGAGGCAUUUCCCCAGAUUCCUGCCAUUGUUUACUUACACUGGGAAGCACCCACAGCCUCCUCCUGGAAAACACACACCCCCUGCUCUCAAGAACUUUCCAUUUUAAAACAAACUUGCCCUCUGGUGUGUCAUCCUUGCUUUCUGAAAGUGAGUUUUCUUCUCCACGCCACUGUGUGUUUUUUUCUGAUAGCAGUAGGGACUGUGUAUUGGAGCUCAGUCUAUGGGAAGCAUUUUGUACUCGACGUUUAGGCACGAUUAUCCCCAUUUGAAGAUAAACUGAGGCUCAGGCGGGUUCAGUAACCUGCACUGGAGGUCAGGGUCAGUGGCAGAGCUGGAAUUCAAGCCCCAGGAUGUCCGACUGCAACGCCCAUGUGCCUAACCACGAUUUGAUACCGUCAUCCAGACGAAGGACAUCACGGGGUAGGUAGAUAAAGAUAGAAGGAGGUGGGGGUGCCCAGCAACUGAGGGUGGCUGGGAUCCCUUCAUAAACCCGGCUCAUCUGUGCAGAGCGUGGAUCCUUCUGGAGUCAGUGCACCUGGUUGCGGCCAGAAUCCCCCCUUCCCACUCUGUCCGUCUAUAGCUCUAGAAAUAGAGUUACACACAUACCUGCAACUUGCGCUUUCUGCAUGCCACAGGCAGCCAUUACACUUGGUCCAUCUCUUAGAUUAUUCUUAAGAGAGAGCUUCCAGGAACGGGGAUUACAGCACCAGGAAGCAGAAACAUUUCAAAGGCUCUUGAUACAUGUGGCCAAACUGUUUUCCAAUUUACUCAUCAGCCAGAGGACUACAGAUCCUGCAACGCAGCAUUUAAAACACCCACCUCCCAAGCCAGCCAAUCGCUUCUUUUUUCUUUUUUUUUUGAGACGGAUUCUCGCUCUUGUCACCCAGGCUGGAGUGCAGUGGCGCAAUCUCGGCUCACUGCAACCUCCGCCUCCCAGGCUCAAGCGAUUCUCCUGCCUCAGCCUCCCUAGUAGCUGGGAUUACAGUCGCAUGCCACCACAUUCAGUUAAUUUUUGUAUUUUUAGUAGAGACGGGGUUUCACCAUGUUGGCCAGGCUAGUCUCAAACUUCUGACCUCAGGUGAUCCACCCGCCUCAGCCUCCCAAAGUGCUGGGAUUACAGGUGUGAGCCACUCGACCCGGCCUCUUUUUUUUUAAGAGAUGAGAUCUCGCUCUGUUACCUAGGCUGGAGUGCAGUGGCACAAUCAUAGCUCACUGCAGUCUCGAACUCCCAGGCUCCAACAAUCCUCCCUUCUCAACCUCCCAAGUAUCUGGGAGCACAGGUGCGUGCCACCACGCCCAGCUAAUUUUUUAUUUUUUAUUUUUAUAUUUUUAUUUUUAUUUUUUUUGAGACAGAGUCUUGCUCUGUUGCCCAGGCUGGAGUGCAGUGGCACGAUCUCAGCUCACUGCAAGCUCUGCCUCCCGGAUUCAAGCCAUUCUCCUGCCUCAGCCUCCCAAGUAGCUGGGACUACAGGUGCCCACCACCACGCCAGGCUAAUUUUUGUAUUUUUAGUAGAGACGGGGUUUCACCAUGUUAGCCAGGAUGGUCUCAAUCUCCUCACCUCGUGAUCUGCCUGCCUCAGCCUCCCAAAUUGCUAGGAUUACAGGCAUGAGCCACUGCGCCCGGUCUUUUAAUUUUUUAAAAAUUUUUUAUUUUAUGUAAGUUAUUUUUUAUUUUUUUAUUUUUUGAGACAGAGUCUCACUCUAUCGCCCAGGCUGGAGUGCAGUGGUGUGAUCUCGGCUCACUGCAACCUCUGCCUCCCGGGUUCAAGCAAUUCUCUGCCUCAGCCUCCCGAGUGGCUAGGAUUACAGGUGCCCACCACCACGCCUGCUAAUUUUUUGUUAUUUUUAGUAGAGACGGGGUUUCACCAUCUUGGCCAGGCUGGUCUUGAACUCCUGACCUUGUGAUCCACCCACCUUGGCCUCCCAAAGUGCUGGGAUUACAGGCAUGAGCCACUGCACCUGGCCUAAUUUUUAAAAUUUUCACAGAGACGGGGGUCACGCCAUGUUGCCCAGGCUGGUCUUGAACUCCCGGCCCCAAGUGAUCCUCCCACCUUGGCCUCCCAAAGUGUUGAGAUUACAGGUGUGAGCCACUGUGCAUGGUGAAAUAUAUUUUUAUAUAUUGGGACAACUGAGAAUAUUAGAAUGUGGACAGGCUAUUAGAUGAUACUGAAAUUUGUUAAUUGUACUUAGGAGUGAUAUGUCUAAUGUCUAACUUAUCUUUAACCUCACAGAGUGAGAUGAAACAAAUACAGAAAAUAAUAAUUACCAAAUCUAGGUAGUGGGUAGAUAGGUGGGUUUAUGGUACACCUGGGAUGACAGGUGUGAGUCACCACGCCUGGCCUUAAACAUUCAAUUACAAGGGGGAUAUGGGGGCCCACAGCGACAAGGGGUUUCACCCCCAGGAAGAAACAGACAUGGAACCUGCUGGCCGGGCUUUGAAACUCCUUGUUCUCAGCGUGUGGCCCCAGUGGAGCAGCAUCAGCCUUACCUGAGACCUUGCUAGAAAUGUGCAUUCUUGGGCCCCACUUCAGUCCUACUGAGUCAGGAGCUCCAGGGCCAGGGCCUGGCUGUCUGGAAACAAGCCCUCCAGGUGAUUCUAGUGCCUGCGCAAGUUUGGGAGCUGCUGGUCUGCAGAAAGCUACAUCAACUGAAAGGGGAAAUGUACCACACUUGUUUACACACAAAUCUGUGCCAGCUGGGAGCAACUCCAAGGGAAAUGUCACUUCCAUCUCUCGUUCAUAUGAUGAGUUGGUGCCUCUUAACUCAAUAGUGUCUUUAGUUCAGAUGAUUUGACCACAUGGAAAAUGUCCCUCUGUCCCUCAUGUUGAGGAGACUAGCCCUCACAAACCGUUGUUCUUCAUACCGAGGCCUAUGAUGGGCUAGGCACGUUAUUAUUAAUAUCCCUGUUGUUCCCUCGGGAGGGGAAAUGAAGGCUUAGAGCAGUUUAUUUAUUUUAUUUUAUUUUUUUUCCAAGAUGGAGUCUCGCUCUGUUGCCCAGGCUGGAAUACAGUGGUGCGAUCUUGGUUCACUGCAAUCUCUGCCUCCUGGGUUCAAGCAGUUCUCCUGCCUCAGCCUCCCAAGUAGCUGGGAUUACAGGUGCCCACCACCACCCCUGGCUAAAUUUUGUAUUUUUAGUAGAGACAGGGUUUCACAGUGUUAGCCAGGCUGGUCUCAAACUCCUGACCUUGUGAUCUGCCCACCUCAGCCUCCCGAAGUGCUGGGAUUACAGGCAUGAGCCGCCACACGCAGCCCUCAGAGCAGUUUAGAAACAACCCAAGGUCCCACAGCUAGUAAGUGGCAGAACUGAAACUCAAACCCAGUCUCUCUGCCAGAGACGGAGUUUUAACGGCCACACAGACUGAGAGAGAGAGUUGAGACACUUACGUAAGGUGGGAGCCCUGCAAAUGAUUGGGUGUGGUGGUGUUCUGGAAUCUUCUGAAGCUCUGUAUUGAGUGCUGUGAGGCAUGGCUUUCCCCUGCCCCUCCUAACCUUGGACCCUGACACAUCAAAGCCAGUCUUGGGCACACGUGGCUCUUGCCUGGUUGACAGUCCCCAUCAAGCUGGUGAGGUGGUCUUGUCUUUUUUCCCCAACCUGUUGUAAUUUGACUCUUAGGAAUUGUGCCGUGAGCGCUGAGAUUUGUAGACAUCCCAUUGUAGGGGUCUUGGUUGCGUAUCACUGUGCCCAUGGCUCUUAGGGUGACACACACCCAACUCCCAAAUUCUGUCCCGAAUGAGAGGUGGGGUCCAGAGGCACUUAAAAGUCCAGGGAGUCUGAGGGACAGGGAUGCUGACAGUGGGCACUGGUGGUUUGUCUGUUCUACUGUUUCAGGGGGAUGAGCCCACCAUGUGGAAUUCAGAUGGGCCUUCUGGCUACCCCAGGGGCCUCCAGCUCAGCUUCCUGGGUGUGUCAGAGAGGCGUGCCAGGAGCCAGAGCUGAGGAAUGAGGCUGGGCUUACUGCCACCCAGGAGGAGUCCCUCUGGAGAGCCUCAGAAAGUACCUGCAAUGGCAAUACAACAGAAGAGCCUCUAAAUAUCUCCUUUUGGGGAUACGGCAGGAAAGCCAAAGGAAAUGUGAAGAGAUGUCUGAACGCCCAGAGGAAACCAGUGGGCCCUUCCAGGAGUUCUAUUUGCGGUAAGAAACCUUGGCAUGGGGCAGCCAGCUCUCCUGCAAAAAUAGACCAAUGUGCUGAGAAGCAGCUCAAUUCUGGGAGCAAUUCCCCUCCAUGGGGAAGAGAGCUUGCACUGGGACUUAGAAGGAUCUGCCCCCUCUCUUCUUCUUGCCCCUGGACUCCAGAACCAAAAACGGGGAGAAAAAAAGGUAAACAUUUUUUUAAAAAAGAACUCUUGGCCAGGUGGAGUGGCUCACACCUGUAGUCCCAACACUUUGGGAGGCUGAGGCAGGAGGAUCACUUGAGGCUAGGAGUUUGGGACCAGCCUGGACAACAUGGCAAGACCCUGUCUAUCAAAAAAAUACAAAAAUUAUCUGGGUGUGGUGGCACAUGCCUGUAGUCUCAGCUACUUGGGAGACUAAGGCAGGAAGAUUGCUUGAGCCUGGGAGGUCGAGGCUGCAGUGAGCUAUGAUCAAGACAGUGUACUCCAGCCUGAGUGACAGAGUGAGAACCCCAUCUCUUAAGAAAACAAAAAACCAGAACUUAUGAAUGUAUCCAUGACUUAAAUCAAAAAUGGGCCAGUGGAAACACAGGGCAAAGGAAGGUUUCAAAUAAGCACCUGGACACAAACGGACCCAGGAGGUGACACACAGUAUUGAGGACCCACUCCCCAUCACUAGGUCCUUUGGCCUCAAAUGAGUGAGAUGACUAAGAAAAUAGGGCACCAUGUGCGGCAGAAGUGAGGGUGGCUAGACAGAAAAUGACGGCCUUGACUGUGAUGGUCAUCACAGACAGGACCCCUAAGAAAGGUGGCCAAGGGGGUCUGGGGACCCAUCUUUAGAAUACCGGGCUGACAGCAUAACAGGGGUUUGGGACACCACCAUGAAAGAAGACAAUGAAGCCAGGUGCAGUGGCUCACGCCUAUAAUCCCAGCACUUUGGGAAGCCAAGGCAGGAAGAUUGCUUGAGCCCAGGAGUUUGAGACCAGCCCGAGCAACGUAGCAAGACCCCCAUCUCUACUAAAAAUUUAAAAAUUAGCGAAGCAUGGCUGGGCACGGUGGCUCACGCCUGUAAUCCCAAUACUUUGGGAAGCCAAGGCGGGUGGAUUACGAGGUCAGGAAUUCAAGACCAGCCUGACCAACAGGGUGAAACCCUGUCUCUACUAAAAAUACAAAAAUUAGCCGGGUGUGGUGGCAGGCUCCUGUAACCCCAGCUACUCAGUAGGCUGAGGCAGGAAAAUCGCUUGAACUCAGGAGGUUCAGUAAGCCAAGAUCAUGCCAUUGCACUCCAGCCUGGGUGACGGAGUGAGACUCCAUCUCAAAAAAAAAAAAAUUAGCCAAGCACAGUGGCAUGUGUCUGUAGUACCAGCUACUUGGGAGGCUGAGUGAAGAGGGAGGAUUGCUUGAGGCCAGGAGUUGGAGACCAGACUGGGCAACAUAGCGAGACCUCAGCUUGGAAGUAAGGAAGGAAAGAAGGGAGGGAAGGAGGGAUGAAGGUAGAAAGAAACGGGACAAGAUGGACUCCUGAGGCCAUCCUAAUUCUGGAACACAAUACAAUGGCCUCUGUAUGUUAGGAGGGCUCAUUUGGCUUCUCUCUAAGCCAGCAGUCCACAUCUUUUUGGCACCAAGGACCAGUUUUGUAGAAGACAAUUUUCCACGGAUGGGGGCGGGGGGUGGGGGUGGGAGGGGAUGGUUUCGGGAUGAAACUGUUCCACCUCAGAUCAUCAGACGUUAGAUUCUCGUAAGAGGUGCCCAACCUACAUCCCUUGCACGUGCAGUCCACAAUAGGGUUUGUGCUUCUAUGGGAAUAUAAUGCCACACUGAUCUGACAGGAGUCAGGGCUCAGGUAGUAAUGCUCACUCACCUGCCGCACACCUCCUGCUGUGCGGCCGGUUCCCAAUAGGCCAUGGAAUGCUUAUUGGUCCACAGCCCUGGAGUUGGGCACCCCUCUUCUAAGGCAGAAGCUUCUACUGUCUUAGGAGCAGCGUCCUGGCCUCCACAGCAGGGAGAGAGCAGGAAUACCCAGCCACAGAUACUGGUCAAGAUAUUGAUCAACUUCCUACCAUCAUGGUGGAGGCAAGCCUGGAGGCCUCUGGGUGGUCAUCAGGUCACCCCAGCACAUUUUCCUGCCCCGGACUCCUGGCCACGCUGAGGUUGCUGUGAGCAGACACGAUGUGCAGGGUCAUGGAUGUGCAGCUCAAACUCCUUGACAAGCGGGAGAUUUAUUUUAUGGCCCAAGCAGUUUGGAGACAAAAUCGUAAGGUGCUCACCCAUCCAGUGUCUCUUCAGCCGGCACUGGGAGGUGUCAAACUGACCACAUUCGACUGCCCCUUCCGCCCGCAGAAUAUGGGUCUGCGUUUCUCUUUCCCUCUUGGUGGCCAAGAACUGUCAACAUCCAGCUGUGGCUCUGCACUCAGCCGCCGCUCAGCCUGCUCAGGUUGAAAGGUCAAACGUUGUCUGGAAUUGGCAGCCCAGCUUACUAGCAGCUCUUCUGUCUUCAGAGUGCAGUGAGGGGAGCUGUCAGAGGGCUGAGGCAAGGACCAGAGAGGGAACUCCUGCGACAGAGAAAGCUCAGCCCUGGUUAUGUUCUGGAGGGAGCAUAGCAGGGUCUGUCCCAGGAACUUUAUUAGUUAGCGGUUAAGAUCCUCAUCCACAGAAAAGCCGGUAGGAAUUAGCCAGGUGGUGUGUGCCUAUGGUCCCAGCUACCCAGGAGGGUGAGGAGGGAGGACUGCUUGAGCCCAGGAGGUUGAGGCUGCGGCUAGCUAUGAUUGUGUCACUGCGCUCCAGCCUGGGUGACAAAGCAAGAUCCUGACUCAAAAAAAAAAAAAAAAAAAAAAGGAAGAAAGAAGAAAGAGAGAGAAGAAAGAAAGGAGAGAAAGAGAAGGAAGGAAGGAGAAAGGAAAGAAGGAAGGAAGAAAAGGAAGAAAGAAUGACAAAGAAAAGAAAGAAAGACGAAAAGGAAAGGAAAAGAAAAGAAAAAAGAAACAAAAGCAGGAAAGUGAGGGGAGAGGGCCAGGAAGACAGAAGACAGGAUGGGCAAGAAGGGUGGGAAGGAUUCCCACACCAGAUUCAGGAGUGGCUCUGCAUUGGGAAAUCCAUCUACGACUGCUGGGGACUUGGUUUUGCAAACAUGCACAGAGAAACCUUCAUCCACCUCUGUGCAAUGUUGGACUGAAGUAGAAAUGAGCCGCUGUUUUCUGGAAGCACCCCAUUUCUUUGAGCUGAUCUUCUCUAAUAAUGAAUUCUGGUGAAGCCUGCCAUUCACAGCACCCUGCCCUCCCAUCUGUAGGAGGUGGGAACAGGACCCAGGCCAGUUGAUCAGAGAGCUCCCUUGCCCUGGGAUGAGCAUGUGACCCAGAUGUCUCAAUCAUGGGGAAGAUCCUCUUGCCUGUUAUAGCCACUAUGCUGGAAGAACAGGAUGUGGGCUUGCUGGCCGCCAUCUUCCAGUCCACGCUGGGAACCCAUCUGCAGGAGGAGGGAAGGAGGACAACCCAGUUUGAGGGAGCAUAUGGACAGCAGCUAUAGAAGGCUCCAUAUGUGCCCAGUGCUAGAUCCACCCCAUCCCUUCCUGUUCCAUAAAUCCAUACAUCUUCUCUCACUUUUGCUUACCCUAGUUUGAGUUACAUUUCUGACACCUGCCACCAUAAAAGCCCAAAUGAUUACAGAGAAUAUUUGGCUACAGGAAAGACCCUGCAGUCUGUGAAAAAAGAGGCUGCUGGUGCAUAGUCAUCGUAGACCAGUGCAAAGAGUGAAACAGAAACAUCCAGCUUAAUCUGCAAAAGCCUUUUUGGAUCCUUGAGAGGCGCUCAUUAACUUACAGCAAAUUGGUGAGCUGAUACUCUUCUUUCAUCCAGGUGAGUGCAUUAACUAGGUUAAUGUUCCUGUCUCAAGGGACUGCUGUAGGUUAGGGUGAAUGAAUGAAAGAAGCAAGUUUUUAAACAGGAAAAAGGCUGCAGGGAAGUUGAGGUGACAAGCAUCGUUUCACCCCCAAUGGAAGGUGAGCUUGUCUGUUAGGUCCCAGGGACUGAAUUGGAGUUCCGUGGUUAGGGAAUGACCCAUCUCAACAAGCAACUUCCAUCAUCCUUCCAUGGGGAUCUGAUUAAGGUCUUCUCCAGAAGGAGAUGGCCUCGUGAGUUGGGGCUUUUUAAUCUCCCUGUCCCUCCUCUAGAAGGGCAUUGCUACUGGCCUUGCCCUGCCAAGUCUUCAGUCUACAACAACACUGCCCGGCUUCAGACACAGCCCAGAUCCUUCCCAGAUCCUUCCCAGACACAGCCCAGAUCCUUCCCAGACAAAAAGUCCUUCCGACUUUUUGCCCUUUCGGCCCAGCCUUCCCUAUCACUUAUGCUGAAAUUGGGAACGUUUCCCAAACCAACAAUUUCCCAGUCCACAAUGUUCCCUUGCUGAGUGUCCCCACAGGAGAGACAGGCAGCCUGAUAAAUAAAACCAGUCAUAAAACCUCCCUGCCUUAGCAAAGGGACUGCUUUGCCAGGCUACCGUCACAUAGCACUCCUGUCUCCCGUUUGACUUCAUAUAGUGAAAAUUGUCUAAAAGAUAAGGCAGGAGCUCUGGUUGACACCCCCCCUGCCCCCGCCUCAUAGAUCUCUCUCUAGAAGCAUUGGAAGAGGCCGUCUCAAAAAAGAAAAAUAAAAUAGAAGCAUUGGAGGAAAGAUGUGGUUUGUAGUGAAACAAAUUGGAAGUCAAGCUCAGCCUCAACCACUUACUUGCUUCUGACCUUGGGAACUUAGGCCAGCUCCCAUCCAGUUCAAUCAGGUUGGGACCACCAGUUCUUCAAUGGGCCUGCCCAAAUGCCCAAGAAGUGGACUUUUGAUGUCAGAGGGCCAAAGAUCCCGCCCUCAGAUCAUGCUAAUGCCACCACUUUCUGUACACAUGUCCUAUGAAAUGCCACCAACUCUGACUAUUACGCUUGUGCAGAACAAACCUAUCAAUUAAUUUUUCCCUGCUGCCAAUCACGUUUCCCCAUGCCUUACACCACCGUGUUUCCCUAACCCAUAAAUAUCCCUAAGCCUUAUCUUCAGGAAGCAGGAUGUGAGAGCUGUUCUACCUCCUUGCUUGGUGGCCUUGCAAAUAAAUCUUUUCUCUUUUGCAAAACCCA